GAAUUGACGGGGGCCCGCACAAGCAGUGGAGUAUGUGGUUUAAUUCGAAGCAACGCGAAGAACCUUACCAGAUCUUGACAUCCAACUAAUCCUCUAGAAAUAGAGGAGUGCCCUUCGGGGAAAGUUGAGACAGGUGGUGCAUGGUUGUCGUCAGCUCGUGUCGUGAGAUGUUGGGUUAAGUCCCGCAACGAGCGCAACCCUUGUGAUUAGUUGCUACGCAAGAGCACUCUAAUCAGACUGCCGUUGACAAAACGGAGGAAGGUGGGGACGACGUCAAAUCAUCAUACCCCUUAUGAUCUGGGCUACACACGUACUACAAUGGCCAUUAACAAAGGGAAGCAAAGCCGCGAGGCGGAGCAAAUCCCCAAAAAUGGUCUCAGUUCGGAUCGCAGGCUGCAACCCGCCUGCGUGAAGCUGGAAUUGCUAGUAAUCGCGGAUCAUCAUGCCGCGGUGAAUACGUUCCCGGGCCUUGUACACACCG
rnacentral:rRNA from 1 species